AACGAACGCUGGCGGCAGGCCUAACACAUGCAAGUCGAGCGGGGGAGCAAUCCCUAGCGGCGGACGGGUUAGUAACGCGUGGGAACAUACCCUUUGGUACGGAAUAGCCUCGGGAAACUGAGAGUAAUACCGUAUGUGCCCUUCGGGGAAGAUUUAUCGCCAAAGGAUUGGCCCGCGUUGGAUUGGGUAGUUGGUGGGGUAAUGGCCUACCAAGCCUACGAUCCAUAGCUGGUUUGAGAGGAUGAUCAGCAACACUGGGACUGAGACACGGCCCAGACUCCUACGGGAGGCAGCAGUGGGGAAUCUUAGACAAUGGGCGCAAGCCUGAUCUAGCCAUGCCGCGUGAGCGAUGAAGGCCUUAGGGUUGUAAAGCUCUUUCAGAUGGGAAGAUAAUGACGGUACCAUCAGAAGAAGCCCCGGCUAACUCCGUGCCAGCAGCCGCGGUAAU
rnacentral:rRNA from 1 species